GACGAACGCUGGCGGCGUGCCUAAUACAUGCAAGUAGAACGCAGUUGCGAACGGGUGAGCAACGCGUAGGUAACUACCUAUUAGAGGGGGAUAAAUAUUGGAAACGAUAGCUAAUACCGCAUACUAGUAGAUGGACCUGUGUUGUAUUAGCUAGUUGGUUGGGUAAUGGCCUACCUAGGCAACGGUACAUUGCCGGCCUGAGAGGGUGGUCGGCCACACUGGGACUGGGACACGGCCCAGACUCCUUCGGGAGGCAGCAGGAGGGAAUCUUCGUCAAUGGGGCGAACCCGUACCGAGCAACGCCGCGGGAGUGAAGAAGGUUUUCGGGUCGGAAAGCUCUGUUGGGAAGGAAGCGGUACUUAACCAGAAAGGGACGGCUAACUACGUGCCAGCAGCCGCGGUAAUAC
rnacentral:rRNA from 1 species